rnacentral:misc_RNA from 1 species
CACGUAUAUGUAUAUUUUUAAACAGGACUAGAUCGAUCUAUUCCUAACAGGAAAGUGACUUUAUUGAGUAAACGUACAAAACAAUGCGCAUGUGCGUAUUGUAUACAAAUAUAUCGCUAGAUUAUCAUACGCUAAUAAGGCAAUAGAAUGAUAAGGCUGUUAUCCAGAUGGACCACACCAUUCGUCCGGAUUCGAACACGGUCUGUCAAAGUGGUAGGCUGUCAUCAAUCUCAUAACGAUUCUGGCAGUGAUGUUUUAAGGUUGCUCAAAUUAGUAUUCAAGCAUAGAUUCGAGUAACUUACAUAGAGAACUCAAGUGAUAUUCACAUUGGAAACAGAUAUCACUGGUUAGAAAUUAAUAACACUGUACGCAAUUAUAAUAGACAGAGUAGUGAAGAAGUUGAAGAAGAUGAUGAUGAUAAUAGCAUAGCCCCAAUAUCUCUUCUAGAAGAAUUGAUCGAAUCCAACGAAAAAUAGGGGACGUCGAAUAUUACGUAGUUGCAAAGAGAAUAUACGGCAAAUGGAAAGAAUUGGCACGUUUUCUGCCGCCAAGAAAUGUAUUUACGGAAGGAGAAUUAACAAUACUGCAAAGUGAUAA